rnacentral:ncRNA from 1 species
UCGAAGGGGUGCCUUAAUAUUACGGGCUGAGAUUAUACCCUAGAACCUGAUCCGGGUAAUGCCGGCGUAGGGAGUUAAGAG